GACUGAGACAGUGACAGGAGUAAAUGCUGCCACUGUGGCCACCACGAGAAACACUUUGCUCGGGAUUUAGUUCUCAGCAUGACCUAGAUGCAUGGUCCCGUGGAUCUACUGUAUACUGAGGUUCAGCUGUUCCCUGAGGAUUACAGUGGCUCUGGAGGAUGAAAGGAAAAAAGAGAUGGCACUCCUGACCAUCCCAACUGAAACACCAGACAUUUGAGGAAGCUCAGCCUGGACAAUCCCAGCUCAACUUAAUCCAACUACCAAACAUAGAACAGUGAAAAAACCAAUGAUUGUUUGAAAUUUCUACAUUUUAGAGAUGUAACAAUGGAAAAAUGACAUCAGAACUAAUACCGAGAGCUAGGUUUGUGGGCCCAUAUUAGAAACGCCAGCAAUUAGAAGGCAGAAGUAAGGGGAUUUCACAAUGGUGGGCUACAUGGUGUCCUGUCUCAAACAAUAACAAUACAAUACAAAACUACAAACAACACAACAACAAC
rnacentral:lncRNA from 1 species